GAUGAACGCUGGCGGCGUGCCUAAUACAUGCAAGUCGAGCGAACGGACGAGAAGCUUGCUUCUCUGAUGUUAGCGGCGGACGGGUGAGUAACACGUGGAUAACCUACCUAUAAGACUGGGAUAACUUCGGGAAACCGGAGCUAAUACCGGAUAAUAUUUUGAACCGCAUGGUUCAAAAGUGAAAGACGGUCUUGCUUUCACUUAUAGAUGGAUCCGCGCUGCAUUAGCUAGUUGGUUAGGUAACGGCUUACCAAGGCAACGAUGCAUAGCCGACCUGAGAGGGUGAUCGGCCACACUGGGACUGAGACACGGUCCAGACUCCUACGGGAGGCAGCAGUAGGGAAUCUUCCGCAAUGGGCGAAAGCCUGACGGAGCAACGCCGCGUGAGUGAUGAAGGUCUUCGGAUCGUAAAACUCUGUUAUUAGGGAAGAACAUAUGUGUAAGUAACUGUGAACAUCUUGACGGUACCUAAUCAGAAAGCCACGGCUAACUACGUG
rnacentral:rRNA from 1 species